rnacentral:rRNA from 1 species
AUACGGAGGAUCCGAGCGUUAUCCGGAUUUAUUGGGUUUAAAGGGUGCGCAGGCGGCACCUCAAGUCUGUGGUGAAAUGUCAGGGCUCAACCUUGGCACUGCCAUGGAAACUGGGGAGCUAGAGUGCGUUUGGGGUGCAUGGAAUGUGUGGUGUAGCGGUGAAAUGCAUAGAUAUCACACAGAACGCCGAUCGCGAAGGCAGUGCACCAAGCCGCAACUGACGCUCAGGCACGAAAGUGCGGGGAUCGAACAGGAUUAGAUACCCUGGUAGUCCGCACAGUAAACGAUGGAUGCUCGCCGUCCGCGAUAGACAGUGGGUGGCCAAGCGAAAGCGAUAAGCAUCCCACCUGGGGAGUACGCCGGCAACGGUGAAACUCAAAUGAAUUGACGGGG